ACGCUACGGACUAAAGAAAAUCCGUUGGCUUUAUUGACCGUGAGGGUUCAAGUCCCUCUACCCCCAAAAUUA
rnacentral:tRNA from 1 species